rnacentral:snoRNA from 1 species
GGACUGUACUCGAACGUGAUCACUUCUAUAGCAGAUGCGCUUGCUCACCGUCACAGCGACAGACAACACUUCAAGUCGUGACCAUGAGGUAGACAUCCUUCCAUAGCUUGAAGGGAGGAUCUCUGGGAACUCGUUUCAGGACGGUGGCUGUCGGGCAGCUUUGAUGAUCCCGGACCACGUUGGCAAAUGGUCAUCAUGGGCCAGUGGGAUGGAUGAAGCUAAACGGUU